UGGGGAAAGGGUGCAAGACCCAUGCUGAAAAGGUCCAUUGGAAAUUCACUGUAACAGAGAGGGGUGUAGCAGGAGACUACAUGAAGUGUAGUCAAUCCACUGAAUGGUCCUGAAGCCCAAACAAUCUCACAAAUGAGACCAAGCGGAGCCAGCCUCCCUCACGUGCCAUACCACACUCCAGCUCAACUCAAAAAUUCUCCCUCCAAUACUGACUAGAGAAGCGAGCUUUCGCCGCGCUGGAGCUCAUCACCGUCGACGGCGGAACUCCAAACAUGAAAAUCUACACAUCAAAAUCUCCCUCAUCACCUCCAUGAUCCAAAAGUCCAAUCAAAAUAACCUAAAUCCAAGUCCAUUGACCAAAUCGAAGCUAAAUGUUCAUGAACCCUAAGUCCGAUUUCCAGAAAUUAAACAGAAUAUAAUGAGGAUCAAAAUCCAACAGGUUAGGGCUUUGAUCCCCCUAACUUGACACUACAUUUCAGUAACCAUAUCGAAAUAGAACGAAAUGGAGUUAAAAAAUUACCUAUCAGAGACGAUGACGAAGAUGGCGGUGGUGGCGGCAAUAAGAACCUCAGGGUGGUUUUGCAGGAUACAUGAAGUCUGCAUUUGUCCUUACAGUGUUGUUUUGCACUGCUUGGGGAGUGUCCUAACUUGCAUUUACUCUGCAUAUAUUAUGUUCAGUUUGUGUGCCACUGACUUAGGUAAUUGGCAGGGUUCUUUGCAUCUUGGCAAGUUGAAGGUGAUUGUGAUUCUUGUUUGUGGAGUAGUUCAGUUGUGCUGAUGUAGCAGGGUGGCUCUACAGCUUAUGUGCUCAUGGUCUACUACCUUAGUUUGUGGUUUGCAUUAGAUUGUAGGUCUAUGUUGGUGGCAUGCUCUUAAUGUGGUCUGCUUGUUAAUGGACUUGUUUGAUGGUACAAGAUGUUGGUUGCAGGAUUUUGCUGGCAUAGUUGUUUAAUGUUUGCCAUUUGAUUUUGGAUGCAUGAAUGCUUCUUGUAGCAUGGCAUUGCAGUAAGAAUUAUUGUGGACUUGUGCAGCAGUUCUCCUGACUUGUGUUUCAUGUUGCAGCUUGCAAUGGCCUUUGAACUCUGACUUAUUUUAUGCAGGGAGCCUGCGGUUCUGUAGGUUUGUUCAUGUUUGGUGAAUGGUUUUGCAUCAUGGUUACAGGUCAGUAUGCAUUAUACAACAGGUAUGAGUGAAUUGCUUAAUGGAUCUUAUUUAUGCAGUAGGUAAUGAUGUGCAUUGUUGACUUGUUUGUAUCAUGGCCUAUGUUUUCUCAUGGUUUUCAUGGUGCAGCUUUGAUAUGCAUGGGUUGGCAAAUGGUUCAUGUAGCUUCACUCAUGCUCAUGACAAAAAUUCAUGGUUGCUCUGCAUUUUUGUAUUCAUUGCCUUAAAUUCUGACUUGUGAUUCACUUUGACAUGUUUGUGGAGUACAGGUCUUGGUCAUGUGCACAUGAAGGAUGGUUAGACAAGGCAACAUGAUGACCAAAAUUGGAAUUAUGAAGCAACAUGUACAAUUGGAAAACCAAAGAUCAAGAUGGGUUUUGAAGAUUAGGAUUAGAAUUGAGGAUUUAGGGUUUUAGGAUGGAAAAAAGUAUUGGGUUGACUUUGGUCAAAGUUGACCAAAAAGUCAAUUGUCGACCAAAGUCAACACUUGGUCAAAAUUGCCAAAUUUUGGUGUUUUUUUUUUCCAUGUAAUGAACAUUGUAAUGGAUUUUGUUAUUUAUGAAUUCAAUUGCAUUGGUUCUUGAA